ACAGGCAGGAUUGGGGAA
rnacentral:miRNA from 1 species